GCCUAGCUUGAGCAAGACGGUUCCCCUCGGGGAUCAAAAGGGAACGCGGUGAGGUCAGGCCCGUGAGGGCUCGGCCGAUACCGCGGCUGCCCCCGCAACUGUAAGCGGCGAGUCCUUCAUCACCACGUCACUGGGCGGCCUCGUCCGGGAAGACGAUGAGAGGGCGACGACCCGCGAGCCAGGAGACCUGCCGUCAGCCGUGGUCACAC
rnacentral:ncRNA from 2 species